rnacentral:lncRNA from 1 species
AUGUGUCUGGCUAUCCCUGUUCUCUCCCCUCUGCACAGGCCAUACAAACACUUCACACCGCGUGGCCGCUGCCACUCUAACCUGGUGGUCCCAGCGCGCACGACCCACGUGGAGUUCCAGGUCUCCGGCAGCCUCUGGAACUGCCGGUCUGCGGCCAACAAGGCUGAGUUCAUCUCAGCCUAUGCUACCCUCCAGUCCCUAGACUUCCUGGCGCUGACGGAAACAUGGAUUACCACAGAUAACACUGCUACUCCUACUGCUCUCUCCUCGUCUGCCUACGUGUUCUCGCAUACCCCUAGAGCAUUGAGCCAGCGGGGUGGUGGCACUGGAAUCCUCAUCUCUCCCAAGUGGACAUUCUCUCUUUCUCCCCUGACCCAUCUGUCUAUCUCCUCAUUUGAAUUCCAUGCUGUCACAGUUACCAGCCCUUUCAAGCUUAACAUCCUUAUCAUUUAUCGCCCUCCAGGUUCCCUUGGAGAGUUCAUCAAUGAGCUUGAUGCCUUGAUAAGUUCCUUCACUGAGGAUGGCUCACCUCUCACAGUACUGGGUGACUUUAACCUCCCCACGUCUACCUUUGACUCAUUCCUCUCUGCCUCCUUCUUUCCACUCCUCUCCUCCUUUGACCUCACCCUCUCACCUUCCCCCCCUACUCACAAGGCAGGCAAUACGCUUGACCUCAUCUUUACUAGAUGCUGUUCUUCCACUAAUCUCAUUGCAACUCCCCUCCAAGUCUCCGACCACUACCUUGUAUCCUUUUCCCUCUCGCUCUCAUCCAACACUUCUCACUCUGCCCCUACUCAGAUGGUAUUGCGCCGUCCCAACCUUCGCUCCCUCUCUCCUGCUACUCUCUCCUCUUCCAUCGUAUCAUCUCUUCCCUCUGCUCAAACCUUCUCCAACCUAUCUCCUGAUUCUGCCUCCUCAACCCUCCUCUCCUCCCUUUCUGCAUCCUUCGAUUUUCUCUGUCCCCUAUCCUCCAGGCCGGCUCGGUCCUCCACUCCUGCGCCGUGGCUCGACGACUCACUCUGA